rnacentral:rRNA from 1 species
CUAUACUGCAGUCGAGCGAACUGAUUAGAAGCUUGCUUCUAUGACGUUAGCGGCGGACGGGUGAGUAACACGUGGGCAACCUGCCUGUAAGACUGGGAUAACUUCGGGAAACCGAAGCUAAUACCGGAUAGGAUCUUCUCCUUCAUGGGAGAUGAUUGAAAGAUGGUUUCGGCUAUCACUUACAGAUGGGCCCGCGGUGCAUUAGCUAGUUGGUGAAGGUAACGGCUCACCAAGGGCAACGAUGCAUAGCCGACCUGAGAAGGGUGAUCGGCCACCACUGGGACUGAAACCACGGCCCAAACUCCCUACGGGGAGGCAGCAGUAGGGAAUCUUUCCGCAAUGGACGAAAGUCUGACGGAGCCAACGCCGCCGUGGAGUGUGAUGAAGGCUUUCGGGUCCGUAAAACUUCUGUUUGUUAGGGAAGAACAAGUACCAAGAGUAACUGCGCUUGUACUCUUGACGGUAACUAACCACGAAAGCCACCGGCUUAACUACGUCCCAGACAGCCGCGGUAAUACAUAUGGUGGCAAGGCGUUAUCUCGAAAUUAUUGGGCCUAAAAGCGCGCGCCAGGCGGUUUCUUAACUCUGAUGUGAAACCCCACGGCUCAACCGUGGAGGGUCAUAUGGAAACUGGGAAACUUGAGGGCAAAAAAAAAAAACCGAAUUCCACGUGUAGCGGUGAAAAUGCGGAAAGAUGUGGAGGAACACCAGUGGCGGAAAGGCGGCUUUUUGUGUCUGUAUACUAGACGCUAGAACCGCGAAAGCGUGGAGAACAAAAAAAAUUAGAUACCCUGGUAGUCCACGCCGUAAACGAUGAGUGCUAAGUGUUAGAGGGUAUUCCGCCCUUUAGUGCUGCAGCUAACGCAUUAAGCACUCAGCCUGGGGAGUACGGUCGCAAGACUGAAACUCAAAGGAAUUGACAGGGGCACGCACAAGCGGUGGAGCAUGUGGUUUAAUCUGAAGCAACGCGAAGAACCUCACCAGGUCUUGACAUCCUCUGACAACUCUAGAGAUAGAGCGUUCCCCAUCGAAGGACAGAGUGACAACGUGGUGCAUGGUUGAUAGUCACCUCAGUGUCGUGAGAUGUUGCGUUAAGUCCCGACUUAACGAUCGCGCAACCCUAGAUCGUAGUUGCAACCAUAUAGUUGGCCAUCUCUACAGGUGACUGCCCGUGAACAAACCGGAGGAAGGUGGGGAUGACGUCAAAUCCAUCAUGCCCCUUAUGACCUGGGCUACACACGUGCUACAAUGAAUGGUACAAAGGGCUGCAAGACCGCGAGGUCAAGCCAAUCCCAUAAAACCAUUCUCAGUUCGGAUUGUAGGCUGCAACUCGCCUACAUGAAGCUGGAAUCGCUAGUAAUCGCGGAUCAGCAUGCCGCGGUGAAUACGAUCCCGGGCCUUGUACACACCGCCCGUCACACCACGAGAGUUUGUAACAACCGAAGUCGGUGGAGUAACAGUAAGGAGCUAGCCGACUAAGAGUGGGACAG